CUCGUCUCCUUAUCUGUCCAGCCUUCAGAGUGAGGGAGCUCAGAUUCCUAACUUUCUCGGUAACUUCUGGAAAACAUGAGGCACUUUAUUCUGCUGUCGGCGGUGGUGGUGAUGGUGGCAGCGAUGCCCGGUGUAAAGGCUUCACCAGAUCCAAACUGCGCCCCCCACUGCAAUGUUGUGAAGAAGCAGACACGCGUGUGUGACUCUGACAUCCAGAAGGCAAAAAUGGAGAAGUGUUGGUCAGGAACCUUAAAAUGAUCAGCGUGGAGCAAAACUGGGAUGGGCAUGAAUGGAAAAGUUCUCGAAACAAACGAUGGGCCAGUAAUAAAACCAGAAAAUUAGGAAAAUGAACACCAAGAUGAACCGCAAACUACUGAACAACUAGCUGGGUUUGCUAGGCCAACCAGCGCUGAAGGAGGAAGCGAGUGCCACAGAUCUACAGCAGUACCACAACUCUCGCCACGACGGCAGUUAACUUCUUAACUCUUCUUUGUUCCUUUGCUUUCUUUUCCUCAGGAGUGCAAUUGUCGAGCAAAUAAACGAUCAGUAAGCAUU